rnacentral:pre_miRNA from 1 species
UGGCAGUGUAUGUUAGCUGGUUGAAACUCUUGACAUCAGCUAACACGCAGUUGCUAAC